AAUCCCUGCCCGCCUCCCUCCCCCCCCUUUUUGUUUAUAUUUUUUUCAGAAUUUCUGGUUUGGGUGUUUUUGUAAUUUGUAGUAGUUUAAUUAUUUUUAUAACAUCUGAAUUAUUUAAAAGAUGAACCCAACUGAAUUUUUAGCUGAAAAUAAUGCUUGUGGGCAAACUAUUUUGCUGUUAGUUUCAAGAGGAAAUGCAAUUAUAGCAGAAUUAUUAAGAUUGAAAGACUUUAUUCCCAAAGUUUACAGGCUUGAAUCCAAACAUGUUCUUCAAAAGUAUGGUGAAAUUAUUUUAGAUUUCUCCUAUCUGCAAACUUCUGAGCUACAUGAGAAAAAAAUUGAGGAAAACGAGGCUUUACGAGAUCUAGAUGAGGAGUUUCGUGAUAACCAUAUAGAGAUCAUUAAUCGAUUUUACUUGUUGUUUGAAAGCAUUCAUAGCUAUGUUAUAGAUUUAAAUCAUUACAUUGAUGAGCUAGAAGAAGGUUUUUAUAUUCACCAGUCAAUAGAGACUGUGUUUCAGGAUCCCGAAGGAAAACAGUUACUGUGUGAAGCAUUAUUUUUGUAUGGCUUAAUGUUGAUUAUGGUGGAUGCAUAUAUAGACGGUCCAAUUAGAGAGAGAUUAUUAGUGUCUUAUAACAGGUAUACACCUCAAAGAAGAGAUACUCAAAGCUGUUUUGAUGAAGUCUGUAAACUUCUUAUGGAUACUGGUGCUAAUGGCACCAAGAAAGCGCAAAAUUAUCCGGAGGAUUACUUUAAGCGUGUGCCAAUUAAUUCUAACUACGUGGAAAUGGUAAUAGGUCGUCUGAGAUCUGACGAUAUAUAUUCUCAAAUAUCAGUUUAUCCUUUACCAAAACAUAGGAGUACUGCACUAGCCACUCAAGCCGCAAUGUUAUAUGUUUGUUUGUUUUUUUGUCCCAAAAUUUUACAUUUGGAAGCAGCUGUCAUGAGAGAAGUUGUUGACAAAUACUUUCCUGAUAACUGGAUUAUUUCUGUUUAUAUGGGCUUUGUUAUAAAUCUGGCUGAUGCUUGGGAAAACUUUAAAUCUGCUAAGCAGGCUCUUAGCAACACCUUACAAUACUCCAACAUUAAAAAUGUCUCGAGCACACAUGGAAAAAACGUGCCACAAUUGCUUAGUGCAACCAGUAAUUUGCUUAAAGAGGGAAAUAUAACUAGUGAUUCGUUGUUAAAACAUAUAAACAGUAUCUUAAAUACAUUGAGGCAGUGUAACGUAACAUUGAGGUGGUUGAUUCUACAUACUGUUAUAAAACCAGGCACAACAGAAAAGAAUAAGAAACUAAAACAUUAUCGAGACCAAGUAAUAUCAGAAAUAAAUUGCGAUCAAGUAAGUUUGUUUAAACUUUUGUUAAAUACUGCCCAGUUGGAGCUGGUAACCAAAGAAUUAUACAAAAGUCUUAUGUCAGAAAAAGACUUCCAAUGGGAAAAUCUUAAAAAAAGCAGUUGUAAAAACCUUAUUGAACUGUCGGAAGUCUUUAGCGGUGAUAAACCAUUGACUAGAAUCCAGAAAAAUUCGGAUUUAGAAAGAUGGUUUAAGGAAAUAUCCAAUGAAGUUCAGAGUUUGGGUCGAGAAGACGUUAGUUCUUCUCGGAAAUUAGUGCAACUUAUACAAGCAUUAGAAGAGGUCCAAGAAUAUCAUCAGCUGGAUAAUAAUAUGCAGGUUGUGCAAUUCUUACAUGAAACCAGCAAUAACUUGCAUCAAAUGAUACGAACGAUGACUAUAAAAGAAGAUGACUUGAUAAACAUGCAAAUCAUUGGUGAUAUAAGCUACGCCUGGGAACUGGUAGAUUUUUAUACUAAUAUUAUGCAAAAUGGUAUAAAAAAAGAACCCAAGUUGGUUAUUAAGCUCCGAGCUGUUUUCUUAAAGCUAGCGUCUGCACUGGAACUUCCUCUACUACGAAUAAAUCAAGCUCAUAGCGAAGAUCUUAUAUCUGUGUCUGAAUAUUAUAGCAAAGAACUUGAAAUAUAUGUUCGAAAAGUGUUGCAAAUAAUUCCAAGCACUAUGUUUGAAAAUUUAGCUAGAAUUAUUCAGAUGCAGACUAGUGUCAUUAAAGAGAUACCCACACGAGUUGAUAAAGAUAAACUAAAAGAGUAUGCACAAUUAGAUGAAAGAUUUGAGUUCGCCGAGUUAACGCAUUCAAUAUCUAUUUUCAGCCAAGGCAUGCGUAUGAUGAAAAGCACGUUAGUAGGUGUUGUAUGCCUCGAUCCGAAACAGUUGCUGGAAGAUGGAAUCCGAAAAGAAUUGGUGCAACACAUUGCAAAAGCUCUUCAUAACGAGUUUAUAUUUAGUGCCAAGCCUAAACAGGAUGAACUAGAAGCAAAACUUAAAACUUUAGGUCAAAUUAUGGAUGGAUAUAAGCGAUCAUUUGAAUACAUUCAGGAUUAUAUAAAUAUCAAUGGAUUAAAAAUAUGGCAAGAAGAGGUGACCCGGAUAGUAAACUACAAUGUUGAGCAAGAAUGCAAUGGAUUUUUAAGAAAUAAGGUCCAUCCUUGGCAAAGUACCUAUCAGAGUAGGUACGUUCCUAUCCCAAUCCAUCCGCCUAUAGAUGAAAGUGAAAACUUUAUAGGAAGGUUAGCUCGUGAGGUUAUCAGAUUAACUCAUCCUAAAGUUGCUGUUUACUUACCUACUACCUCAACAUGGUAUGAUAUAAAAAACCAUAAACCUCUCUUUAACAAAGAAACUAUUGUUUCAAUAGCAAAAGCCAUUGAAAUUACUGGCGUGGUUGGCUUGGAUAGACUAUUUUCGUUUAUGAUAACCACAGCUUUACAGCGCAUAAUUGCUCACCUUGAAAAUAAAAAUAUUAAAAAUAGCUCUUGGGUCAAUGUUAUUACUACAAUAAAAAAUGAUAUGAGGCAAAGAACUGACUGGUCUAGCCCGUACAAAAUUUAUUCGGCAUAUGUGAAUAGAACGACAAAAAUCUGGUCCGAAUUCUUGGAGAAAAUAUUACUUGUUGGACAGUUACAACUGCUGCGAACCCUUAUAGCAUUUCAUUUAAAUAAAACUUGUAGAUUUAAUGCCAAGAUCCUCGAGUCUUCUUUAAGGUCUUUCAAUAAAUCUCUGCUUCUGGAUUUGAAAAAAGGCAAUACUCAAUUAUCUGAAGAGUUUAUGGUUAAAUUGUCCGAAUAUUUUAACUACGCGGGGCUAAAUGAACCUUUUAACAAAGUCUAUGUAACUACCCGAAAUGAUAAGGACUAUGCAUUGAUUCUGUUUUUAUUUGUCUUGGUACAUGUGAAGUUUAUGUUUUUGCCUCAAAAUCUUGCUAGCAUAAAUAAGCGAACAAAUGACCAGUUAGAUGGCGUUGCGUUAUCAGUCUCAGUUCAUACUAUUCUCAAACAAUUCCAUUCUGAAGUCAAUGAAGAGUUUAUAAAACUACUUGCAGAGUUUGUGAUGCAGUUAUCAAAAAAUAAUGGGUCAAAAACUUUUGAAACAUUACCAGAGGUGACUAUGAUGCUAAACUUUCUGGAUUGUUAUACCGAAUAUUCUGAAUCCUCAAGACAGUAUUGCCGCCAGUAUCUGCCAGAAGAAUUUGUGCAAAUUCAACAAUCCUUGACAUCAAAUUCAUCGGUUUAGAAAAAAGCACUAUAAAAUCUGGAUUUAAAUAAGAAGACGCAUAAUUUGUAUAUAUUCAUCUUAAGG
rnacentral:misc_RNA from 1 species